rnacentral:rRNA from 1 species
AUUGAACGCUGGCGGCAUGCUUUACACAUGCAAGUCGAACGGCAGCGCGGGCUUCGGCCUGGCGGCGAGUGGCGAACGGGUGAGUAAUACAUCGGAACGUGCCCAGUAGUGGGGGAUAGCUCGGCGAAAGCCGGAUUAAUACCGCAUACGACCUGAGGGUGAAAGCGGGGGAUCUUCGGACCUCGCGCUUUUGGAGCGGCCGAUGGCAGAUUAGCUAGUUGGUGGGGUAAAGGCCUACCAAGGCGACGAUCUGUAGCUGGUCUGAGAGGACGACCAGCCACACUGGGACUGAGACACGGCCCAGACUCCUACGGGAGGCAGCAGUGGGGAAUUUUGGACAAUGGGCGAAAGCCUGAUCCAGCAAUGCCGCGUGUGUGAUGAAGGACUUCGGGUUGUAAAGCACUUUUGGCGGGAACGAAAAGGACUGUGCCAAUACCACGGUUCGAUGACGGUACCCGCAGAAUAAGCACCGGCUAACUACGUG